rnacentral:rRNA from 1 species
UCAAAAGAGGUCCAGCCUGCCCAAGGACCAUGUGUUAAACGGCCGCGGUAUUUUAACCGUGCGAAGGUAGCGUAAUCACUCGUCUUUUAAAUAAAGACCCGUAUGAACGGUAAAACGAGGGCUUAACUGUCUCCUUUUUCAUGUCAAUGAAAUUGAUCUUCCCGUGCAAAAGCGGGAAUAAACCCAUAAGACGAGAAGACCCUGUGAAGCUUCAGACACUAAGACAUCCCCCAUCACAAACCUCCUAAUAAAGAACUGAGCUAUUGAAAUCUGUCCCAAUGUCUUCGGUUGGGGCGACCACGGGGAAUUAUGCAACCCCCGCGUGGAAUAGGAGCACCCAGACCACCAUCUUGCUCCCACAACUAAGAGCCUCCGCUCUAAUAAACAGAAUUUCUGACCUAAUAAGAUCCGGCAACGCCGAUUAACGAACCAAGUUACUCCAGGGAUAACAGCGCUAUCCUCUUCCAGAGCCCCCAUCGACAAGAGGGUUUACGACCUCGAUGUUGGAUCAGGACAUCCUAAUGGUGCAACCGCUAUUAAGGGUUCGUUUGUUCAACGAUUAAAGUCCUACGUGAUCUGAGUUCAGACCGGAG